rnacentral:rRNA from 1 species
UACGUAGGGUGCAAGCGUUGUCCGGAAUUAUUGGGCGUAAAGAGCUCGUAGGCGGUUUGUCGCGUCUGCUGUGAAAUCCCGAGGCUCAACCUCGGGCCUGCAGUGGGUACGGGCAGACUAGAGUGCGGUAGGGGAGAUUGGAAUUCCUGGUGUAGCGGUGGAAUGCGCAGAUAUCAGGAAGAACACCCGUGGCGAAGGCGGCUCGCUGGGACGUUACUGACGCUGAGGCGCGAAAGCGUGGGGAGCGAACAGG